rnacentral:lncRNA from 1 species
CUCAUUCUGCCUUGCCUGCCACCAUGUAAGAUGUCCCUUGCUCUUCCACCAUGAUUGUGAGGCCUCUCCAGCCAUGUGAAACUGUGUGCCUAUGAGGUGAACUGCCAUGUCUACACAUCCCAGUAUGAGUGAGUGCAGGUGGUGUGCACGCGCCCUGCGAUGGGAGUGUGUCCUAUUCAGGGCUGGUUCCCGCCUUGCGCCCUAAGCUUUGGAGAUAGGCUUCGGCCACCCUCAACCCUGAACUGGAAUAAGCAGAAAACCACAUCUGGUCAGGAGCCCAGUGUGUCCCACUUGGACAAGAAUAGAAAUCUCUCUUCUGGAAUAUGACCUGAGAUAUCCUGAUGAAGCAGACCACACCUGCCCUCAGAGAUGACCUCAUGAGGAAGCUGAGCUGCAUAACAAACAUCUCUGCUGCUCAGCCACCUCCACUCUUUUUCAACAGACCUUGGAGAUAGCACAGCACCCACACCAAAAAAUCAGGAAGCUCUCUUAUCAGCAAUCUUUCUGUACCUAUGAAAUCAGACAUUCCAGCCAUGGCAGAACCUCCUGAGUGGGCCAGAGCCUCAGAGUCAGGAAAAGCUGGGGCCUAAUGAUGUUUCAAAUCAAAUCACUCUGUAGGGGAUUUUCCAUUUAACAUAUUGUGAUUGUGCAGUAACAUUAGUCUUUGCCAUUUAAUUUAUUAAAUUUUAAAAUCUUAUAAUAUCCUCAA